GCUCUGUUGGUCUAGUGGUUAUGAUUGACGCUUCCCAAAUGAAUCGUCGGUAAUUCCCGGUCAUUAGACAGCGUUAGAGGCGAGUUCGAUUCUCGCACAGAGCA